UCCUCUGUCUUCUUGUCAGAGAUUCUAUUGUAAGGGGAAAAGGAAAACCCACUAGAAACAAACAAGAACAGAGGACGUAGCAGCUAGAGCGGCAGAUGGGACAGUGUCCUUUACUGGAUACCUGUCCUUCUUUUGAAUAGUACUCCUACAAAAAUACAAAAAGAAUAUUUUACUCUAUAUGUAGUGUGGCAGUCAUCUUUAAAAUCAAAUUCAAGUAUUGCUUUAAGGACGGUAGUUCUCAGAUACAUUAGCUGAAGUAGAGGAGCAUAGAGCUUUGGAUUAGGUUUGGUGCAGUCGUUACUAGCACUUCAACAUGUGUUCUUGUUUUGGGUUUGUUGUUGUUUUUUAAGACAGGAUCUCUGUAUUCAAGAUGUCCUCAAAUUCACAAUCCUCCCUCAGCAUGCCGAGAGAGCAGGCAUAUACCACCAUUUUUGGCCUCGAGAUGUGCUGUUAAAGUGACCAAUACAUAUCCUCAUGUUCAAUGUCAGCUCUGAAGUCUCCAGUCCAGAAACAGAAGGCCAUUCCACCUGCCCAACUCCCACAUUAGACCACUUCUGCAUGUAAAUAGAGAGCUGAAGGGUUAAGUUACACCAGAUGAUAAAAUCCUUACGUAGCCUUAGGACAACGUUCAGCUGACAGAAAUGUUAUUGUAUGUUCUCUCUUGAAAGCUUUAAGAUAUGCUUGGGUUAAUUAGAUUUCCAAAUAUGCAAAUAUGCCUUAGUGAGAUUUUCAGAAAUGCUCUAUUUUAAAAUUAUGUAGACUGGCAUUAGUGUUCAAAAUACUGAAUUGUAAGACUAUGCCUGAAUAGCUUACUAACAUAUCAUGUAAAUUCAUAAUUGAUCAAACCCAUUUAUUCCCUACUGUCCACAUUAUACUGUUCAAAUUGGGUUAGAAAGUUUUAUGGAAAUUAGAUUCUCUAGCAUGCUUCAGGGGAAGAUCAAGGAGUAGUUUAAAUUACAGCAGAAGUUCUUCAAAAAAUGCCAGUUCACUUGUCUGGUAUCAGUGUUUUCAAUGGGCUCAGUUUUGGGAACAUGAACCUUCAAUAACCUGAGACUGUGGAUCUCCUGAAGGAAAUUAGAAGACAAACUUUGAUCUUAAGGGGAAAAAUAUUUUAGCAAGGGCAACUGAAAUGAUUUAGUUUUGUUCACCUACUUGUACCACUGAAGAAUUUGACAUUUCAACUUCUGAAUGUUUUUAGAUAUAUGAAAAAAAUGUCUCACUCAUUUGGAUGUUUUAUAUAAAUUAUUUUCCACUUAACUGAAAUGUUUUAGUGUCCAUUUAAAAAAUAUGUUUGGGAAAACCUUUCUAAAAUACAUCCUUUCAUCAGUGCUUGAUUAAAUGAUAUUUACUGAAGUCUAAAUCUGAGCUGGCGAUUUCUGAUGGCUAAGAUGUUCCUUGCUCCAGAAUCCAGUGGGGUAUGGAAAGCUAUUUAUCCAUGCUAGACCAUGACCUAUGGCACUGAUCAGAUUUUGUCUACUAAGAGUAAGACAAUGAGUAUUUUUAACUUUGUGAAGCUCCUCUCCUUUGCUAACCUCUAGCAAGCUCUGCACUGUUAAAGCAGCAGGGAUGGGGCUGGGAAUAUGGCCUAGUGGCAAGAGUGCUUGCCUC